UACGUAGGGGGCAAGCGUUGUCCGGAAUCAUUGGGCGUAAAGCGCGUGUAGGCGGCUGGGUAAGUCCGCUCUGAAAGCCCGGGGCUCAACCCCGGGAGGCGGGUGGAUACUGCUCAGCUCGAGUCCGGAAGAGGAGUGUGGAAUUCUCGGUGUAGCAGUGAAAUGCGUAGAUAUCGAGAGGAACACCAGUGGCGAAGGCGAGUCCCUGGACAACACCUGACACUGAGGCACGAAAGCUAGGGGAGCAAACAGG
rnacentral:rRNA from 1 species